rnacentral:rRNA from 1 species
UACGUAGGGCGCAAGCGUUAUCCGGAAUUAUUGGGCGUAAAGAGCUCGUAGGCGGUUUGUCGCGUCUGCCGUGAAAGUCCGGGGCUCAACUCCGGAUCUGCGGUGGGUACGGGCAGACUAGAGUGAUGUAGGGGAGACUGGAAUUCCUGGUGUAGCGGUGAAAAGCGCAGAUAUCAGGAGGAACACCGAUGGCGAAGGCAGGUCUCUGGGCAUUAACUGACGCUGAGGAGCGAAAGCAUGGGGAGCGAACAGG